GAAAGCAAGAGCAUGUAACCGGAUUCGAUACCCGGAUACUUCUUGCCGUAAACGAUGCAGACUAUGAGAUCAGUAGAUAAACUAUUGGUUUUCGUUGCUAACGCCACCGUCGC
rnacentral:ncRNA from 1 species